CUGGCGGCGUGCCUAAUACAUGCAAGUCGAGCGAGAAAUUGAUUAUUGAAACUUCGGUAGAUUUAAUCAAUGGAAAGCGGCGGUCGGGUGAGUAACGCGUAGGCAACCUGCCCUUAGCAGAGGGAUAGCCAUUGGAAACGAUGAUUAAAACCUCAUAAUGCAUUUGUGACACAUGUCACGGAUGCCAAAGAUUUAUCGGCUAGGGAUGGGCCUGCGUCUGAUUAACUAGUUGGUGAGGUAACGGCCCACCAAGGUGACGAUCAGUAGCCGACCUGAGAGGGUGAUCGGCCACAUUGGAACUGAGACACGGUCCAAACUUCUACGGAAGGCAGCAGUAAGGAAUCUUGCACAAUGGGGGAAACCCUGAUGCAGCAACGCCGCGUGAACGAUGAAGGCCUUCGGGUUGUAAAGUUCUGAUCUUGGGGAAGAAGAAAGUGACGGUACCCAAGGAGAAAGCCCCGGCUAACUACGUGCCAGCAGCCGCGGUAAUACGUAGGGGGCAAGCGUUAUCCGGAAUUAUUGGGCGUAAAGCGUGCGUAGGUGGUUACCUAGGCGCAAGGUUUAAUCUUGAGGCUCAACCUCAUUCUGCCUUGCGAACUGGGCUACUUGAGUGCAGGAGGGGAAAGCGGAAUUCCUAGUGUAGCGGUGAAAUGCGUAGAUAUUAGGAAGAACACCAGAGGCGAAGGCGGCUUUCUGGACUGUAACUGACACUGAGGCACGAAAGCGUGGGGAGCAAACAGGAUUAGAUACCCUGGUAGUCCACGCCGUAAACGAUGAGCACUAGUUGUUGGGUCCGAAUGGAUUCAGUGACGCAGUUAACGCAAUAAGUGCU
rnacentral:rRNA from 1 species